rnacentral:lncRNA from 1 species
UAAAUAUUAAACAAAAAUUAUAUAUGCAUAUAGUCAAAUUAUUGAAGAUGUUAGUUGGUAUCAAACAUGUGAUUUUGCUUUAUUAUCCUUUUUUAAAUAGCAUAAAAAGAAAAUAUCAGUGACAUAAAGAUACAACCUAUCUAAAUAACUAGAGUCAUAUUACAAUUUACAGUAAAGGCAAUGAAUCCCAAUAUAAAAAUCACUUGACACAUACGUCAUUAAAUCAACCUAAAUCUAAGCACAACUUGAACAAAAUCACAUAAAUACAUUAUCUAUAUCAAACUAAAAUUUACAUGACAGCAGAAUUAUAUUUUAACAGUUCAAUGUUAGCAAUAUCAAGGAGUUAAAAAUAAAAGAAUAGAAAUGAGUGAUAAGAUUCAUACAUAAAACUUCAUAUAGAAAACUUCAUGUAGAAAAAUAAGAGUAACGGUAGCAGAGGUAUAACAAUUCAACCUCAUGUAGAAAAUGAAUGAACUCUAACCAAACAUACACAAGAACAUGAAUGACAAAUAAUAUGGAUAAAACGUUUUCCUACCGUGAGUAGUGCAUUACAACAGAAUAAACUGACAAACAAAAUAUCCAAUAUAAUUGAAUCAAAAAUAUACACAGUGAAGUAAACACAUCAACAACAUAUAAACUUCAACGAGUUCGAGUUAUUACCGACGGAAAUGACGAUAACUGUUGUAUUUGAUACGUAACGGAGUACCCUUCGUGGUGGACAUGUUCAGAUUUAUGAUUUCGUUGUUGUUGCUUGUUGACUUAUGGUCAGAGCUUCUAGUGGCGACUGGAGUUGUUGUUUCAAGCAGUGUAGUGUACGACGAGCCGAAUGAAGCAAUGUCGGUGGAGUUGCUCACGUUGAGAUUAUGCUUGUUAGAGUGACGGAAGCAAGAUGAUGUGUGUGAGGUUAGGGUGAAGUAGGUUCAGAUUUUUCCGGAAAAUGAAACGGAGGGAGAUCAGAUCUGAGUUGUUUAAGUGGUUAGAUUUAAGAUGGAAGUCAACACGGAGUUGCCGGUGUGAGUCGGUGAGUGAAGUAGAAACGGAAGAUGAGAUUCGAUGGCUUUUCGGUGAGUUAAGGUUGAUGCGGUGGUUGUUAGAUGUUACCGUGUGAGGCAACUUGAUGGUUAGGAAAUAAAGGAUGGUGUUCAGCGGUAUUUUACGGUUGUUUUUGCAUAGUGAGGUUUAGAGGAGUAAGAGGAAGAACAAGGAUGGAUGUGAUUUUGACUGGAAAAAUAAAUAGUGGUCGAAGGGGGUUGGUAAACCGUGUUUGGGUGAAAAUGAUUUUGAGGUUGUAACGACACGGUUAUGAGGUGUUGUUGUAAAAUGAAGUAUUGUUGGAAUGGAGAUUUUUUGGAGAGAACAUCUUUCUGAAAUCUGAAUGAGAGAGUGAAGUGGGAAAGACGUGAGAAUCGUGAGUGAUUGAGAGGAGAGAUUUGUGAGGAUUGUGGCCAAUUAUUGAGAGAGAGAAAAAAACGUGUCAGGGAGAGAGAGAGAAAGUCGUUUUUUAUUUACUCCUUUUUGUUUUUUUAUAUAUUACUAUUAUUAUUAAUUCAUUCUUCUAUUGGUGAAUAAAGAUGCACAUGGAUAGCUAACAUGGAUUGUUGAUUACUUAUGAUUUAAUGGUUGAGAUCCAUUGACAGAAACACAAAUUGCAACCAACUUUUAAAAUGCCUAAAAUGCCUCUCUUAGAUGAUUUAAUUGAUUUAAAUAGUUUAUAUCAAUUAAAUCCAAUAAAAUUGACAACUUCAAAAAUGAAUAUGAUAAAAAUAAAAUGAAGACAUGGAAAAUCCUAUUUAUUUUUUGUGAAUAUUUUGGCGAAAUAAUAAAAAUAAAAUGACUAGAAAUGAAUAAAUGUCGGGCGAAAAUUUGCUCAAAAAAUUAAAUCGGUCACACUAAAUUGAUCAACAUAAAAUAUACUUACUGAAAAAAUACAGCGUUUCUUCAAAUUCUGAAAUAAAUUUUCAUCGAUUAAAAGACUCAAACGGAUUAAAAUGCAGCUGAACAAGUUGCCGAAAAAUAUUACGAGCACACCAGGCUAAACUACGUGAACCGUAGAUUAAUAAUACUGACGUCUGCAAAUUUAAUUUCAAAACUUUUUACCCGCUGAUUUUGCACGUACUUUAGAAAUGAUUUAACCAAUUUGUCUGUAUUUUCAAUAAAUUUAUCCUGACUGAUAUUUCAGGUAUUAUUUAUGAUGAAAUGCAUGUUAUGUUGUACAACUGAUGCAAAUUGAAAUAAAAAUCGAAUUUAUGAAAUUUUUAAAAUGCCCGGACAAAAUUGGGGUAUGACAGAUUGCAUCCCAUUGGUCAGAUCCUUUCAACCCUUAACUUUUAAUUUUUGUUUAGGAUAGUCCCUUCAUCUCCCCUCACUUCUUAAAUUUCAAAAUCUCUCCCUCUUUUCAAAAACUUGUUUUGCUUGUAAUUUCUAACUUAGACAUGUUUUAAUGAUUAGAAACUUUGGCCCUAUGCCAAUGAAUUUUAAGAUCUUUUCUUAAUCAAAAUUGUAAAUGAAGUUAACCAUAUUGACUUUAAUUUCAAAAAUACAAAAAUAACUAACAACCUCAUUCAAAACUUUGCCCUUUUGUGCUUUCUUAUCAAACUUUUUCUAAAAGCAAUUCACCAACUUUCUUUGAAAUUUUUACCACGAACUACGAGGUUUAGAUCCCUUAUUUUUAUGUUGGUACGUAGGCAUAAGACCGAAGGUCUUGUCAAACACAAAAAUAUAAUUAAUGAAUUCUCUUCUCAUCCCCUCAUUCUUUUUUGUCAAACAUCAUUUAGACCAAAUCACUUGCACACAAAAAAUGGCUCCCUAGGAGUACCUAGGACACUUUGGGUGCUAAUACCUUCCCUUUGUGUAACCGACCCCCUUACCUGUAAUCUCUGGCAUUUUAUUAUUUUUGAUUUGAAAACUUCUUAUCUUUGGGUUUUGUUCGUAAUUUUUCCCUUUUCCUUUGGAAAGAAUAAAACCGCGGUGGCGACUCUGGUUUUAUUGACGUCAAGUUUAUCCAUAGCUUGAUGGUCAUGAAUUUACUGCUACACUAUACCAGUUUCCCCCAAGGCUUGUCAGAUGUAUACUAGCCGAGAAGUCUUUCAAAGUUGUGUCCGACCUCUAGCAGUUAUGUCUGGCCAUAGUGAGAAUACACAAGGUAACAAAAUGAUUACAAAAGUAAUGGGUAACAAGUGUAUUAAAUGAUCUCCCAUCAUUGAAAUGUCUCACUGGCUUUUCCAGACACGUGGCUUUAUCCUCAAAGUUUAGGCAUGGCAUUUUCGCCUUGGGCAUUUGAGUGGACUUGAAUUUGUAUGUGUUACCUAGGUGAAAUAUGGCCUUUUAUUUUUAACUUCUUAUUUCCUUGUUCUAUAUAUAAAGACCUCUUUACCUUUGGGAGAAUUUUCUGUGGAACCUUGUUUUGCAGGUGAUAUGAUUUUAACAAGGACAACAACUUUUGUUGAACUCUUUAUCAUGAAAACUAAUUGAUGAUGACUCCAAUGUCUUCUAGUAAGUCGAGCAUAAGUUAUUAAGCGGAUAAAGAUGCAAACAUAAGUAUUAGGGUUUGAUGGACUUGACUAUUUGAUGAUGACAACAAAUGGAAUAUAAGCUCAAGACUCAUCUCAAGUGAACUCGAGCAAGUGUCUACAAAAGAAAGCAUAUGAAAAAAUAUUGAAGUGAAAUAAAGCCCUAUCUUAGUCCUAGUGAAUGUUUUGUAAAGAAAAAGAUCAUUCUCGUAAAAGUGCAAGACUAACACACACAAACACAAACGCGCACAGUAAAAAAUAUUUUCAAACUAAUUUUUCUCAUGAAAAUAUCUUCAAAAACAUCUUGAAGUUGUGCCAAAUGAAUUGAGAGAAAUCAUAAUUACUAUGGGGAAUUUUUUGUCUUUUCACAUCGAUUGGGACACUUAUCUAAUUGAUUAAAUCAGUUCAGAAUUGAGAUCUAAGCGAUUACAACAACACCUUAAUGAUGUAAAACGGCUAAAUAUAUUUUCCUGCCUAUUUUGAACUGGUAAUGGAUUACCUUUAAAGUUUCUAAUGAAUUAGCAUUAGGUGAUAAUUGAUUAGAUUGUCUUAAAAGGAAAUAAAAUAAGUUUUUUUAGCCAACCUCUAGCCUAUAAAUAGAGGUCCCUUCUCUCAAUUCAGACCAUCUAGAAUUGUGUUUUAACACUUUUCACUUUAUCUCUCUCUCUCUCUCUCUCCCCUCUCUAGAACUUUUUUUUUACUUUCUCUCACUAAUAUUUUUAUCUGAAGUGCUUCUACAAGAAGGUUCUUUUGUGAGUGAGGAUAAACUGUUAUUCUGAAAGGGUGGAAUUGUAAAAUUCACCAAGGGAAUAUUUUGUAUACACUUUGGUUGAAUAUUAUCAAUUUAGGAUUUUUUUUGGGUUAGAAGCUAAACUCGUAAAAGCUUUUAGUUUGGGGAUUAUUUGAUACAACCCUUGUUUAGGUUCGAGAUCAGCCCAAGGUAAAAUCUUAUUAGGUUCCUCGUUAUCUCAGGAUAAAACCAAGGACAUAUUAAAGCUUAGUACAAUAUUAAAAGCUUGGAUAAGGUUCAAGAUUAGACCAAUAUUAGAAUCUCUCAAGUUAUUGAUUAGCCCAUGUAAAACCAAGAUUUAAGGUUCAUGAGCUCAGACGUGAUAAAAGCUUACAAAACUUGUUUAGAAGCUUGAAGACUAACUGCUCCAAGAUUCUCGUGAAAAGAAGACUAACUGCUUUGAUCUGCCCUUUUUGGAAAAGGGACUAACCACUUCAAUAUACUGUUUGGAAGAGAAGACUCAAACUUAUAAAUUCCAAGUGUUAUUGUUUUGGUUGGAAGUCAAUUGUUUUCCUUUUAUAAGGAAUUCGUGAGUAUUACUUACAAAAAUCUCUGAAAGUUUAUUAAAUACUCUCAAGAUCAAUUCUUGGAGAGAGGAGUAGGUCAUUUUCUUGUUUGAUUGAACCUCUAUAUAUAUUAGUGUUCUCUCUUUCCCUUACUUUUUCUUUUCUUCAAUUUACAUUCUGCAAUUUAGUUAUGAUGUUGCUUAACACUUAAACAUUCUCAAAAAAUUGUAAGGACUACUCGUCUCAAGAGGAAGAUGACUUCCGACUAGAAAUAUUUUCUAAACAUAGCACCACUUUUUAAUGAUAGUAGAUUUAAUAUUUGGAAAACUAGGUUUAGAAUUUUUCUUCAAAGUUUAAAUAACGAAUUAUGGGAAACAAUAAUCAAUGGUCCAUUUAUUCCUAAUCAUCAAGUAAAUAAUGAAGUAGUAUUUUAACCCAAAUCCCUUUGGACCGAAGAGGAAAAGAGCAAAUUUGAGGGAGAUUUUAAAACCAAGAACUUUAUAAUAAUGUAUCUAGAGUAUAAUAAACUUUAUUAUACUCAUCAUUGUAAAAUCUCCAAGGAAAUUCGGGAUACUCUUGAAAUGACAUAUGAAGCUCUUCCAAGUAUCGAACAAGAGAAUAUGAACACACAAGGCAAAUAAAAAGUUACCACUCUUGGAUGUUUUUCAAAUUUUAGAAGUAUUGGAAAUUAUGUUAUAAGUUGUAUCACUAACAAAUAUCUAAGACUUAAGAAUUGGAAGUUUAAUCCAACUCUUAAAUCAAAAUAUGGGAUCCUUCAUGAAUUUCAGGAAAAAUCAAGAAAGAAGGAAAUUGUAGAGAAGUUAAACGAACUAGUUCAACUACUCAAAGAUGAAGAAACAAAAACCGAAGAAUCAUAAACUUCAUCAUACUCCUACCAUACAACUCCAAUGGAAUCCUUUGAAAGAACAUACUCAAUAGUUGAAUAAUCCUCGAAAGAUUCAACAUCAAUUUAAGGACCCUCUUGUUCAAGGAACGACAAAGAAGAAGAAGUUUCUUCAAUACACGAACGAAGAGAAGGAGAAGAGACAUCAACCUUGGGGAGAAAUGUGAAAGAAAUCAUUUUCCAAGAAAGAAGAUCAAAUAUUCUUAAAGGCAUCCUACGAGGUAGAUGCUAUUCCCGAUAUCAAACCAUCUUAUGCUCAACUAUUUAGAAUGAAUGGUCAUUUAGUGAAAGAAAAUGAUGAACUAAGAGAAAGUACCAUAGGUCUUAAGGAAUUACUAAGACAUCUCAAAGAAAUAAAUAAUUCAUUCAAGAUAGAAAUAACUAAGAUUAGAAAUUAAAAAGACGAAUGUAAAUGGUGUGACUCCCUUAUAAAAUAAGUAACUAUUAUUUAUGAAACCCUAUGAAAGUUUACCCAAGGAAAAUAGAAGCUUGACCUGGUCUUAUCAAGUCAAAGAUUCUCCAUAAAUAAAAAUGGACUAUGAUUUAAAAAGGAUAGAAAGCAUAUGAAAGAUAUAAAUCAUAAGGAAAAGAAGCGUCAUGUUUAUAAGUGCACAUACUAUACAAGAAUAUGACAUUUAGAACCUUUUUGUUUACAUAAAUUGAAAAGAUCUAAAGGUAACCACCCUAGAUCUUCUAGGACUAAUGCACCCGGGCCCAAGAAAAUAGAGACACCAAAGGUAAAAUCUUAGUGUUUUGCAGGUAUGCUUUGUAACUCGGGGAUUUAACGAUUAUUAGUGGAGCUCUACAAAGCAAUAGUGUACUUCUAAAGUAUACAAAAUUUAUGAAGUCUCUGAUCCAACAAUGAUAACCAAUAGUCGUGAUCAAAGAAAAAUGUUUGAGAAUAUCUCAAAGUUUAUGAUCCUUAGUGAUCAGAUAAAUGAAUAUGUGUGUAAUAGACUUUCUCGUUUUGUUGUUUAUAAGGAAUUUUGUGUUUGAAAAAACUCAAAAGAGGUGCCCCAAAUUGGUUAGAAUGCUCUAUGCUAAUCUCUCAUACAAAGAUGGCAUCAUCAACUCCAAAGUCAAGAAACAUCCCAUCACCAUGUAUCUUGAACAUUUUCCUCAAGAAUUCAACCUACCUUUAAUGGGGGAAUAUUAUGAUCAACUGGAUCUUGAAGGUAAUGAAUUUAAUUUUGAAAUUCAUGCCCACUUUCUUCUUAUUGAUCCCGCUUCUGGAUUUCCAACUCCCUUGAAUGUUGGCCUAAUUUGUCCAAAUGUUAGAUCAAUUCAUUACACAAUGAAUCUUGUACUUUCACCAAGGAAAGGUAACUAUAGUAUCCUCCAAAAUUAGAUGUCCGUACUGAAACUAUGUUCUUAGGAGGAAUUUAUGUCUGACACAAUGUGUAUGACAAGUAAAAUGUGUAUUAGACAAAAUAAAGGCAUAAUAAAAAACAUAGAAAUUGUUAACCCAGUUCGGCGCAACAUCAACUAUGUUUUGGGGGAAUUCAACUCAAGAAAUGAAAUCCACUAUCAAUAGUAAAAGUAUAAAUAGUCUUAGAUGAACAAACCUUGUUCAACACCUCUCUUCCUAAUACUACUUGUGAAUUUAUAUUCAAGAGCUUUAGUUUCCCUUGCUUUCAUUACUCUGGAGAUAGAGGUUGCCGUUUUGAAUAUGGAGGAAGUAUGAAAUUUGAUUAAGACUUACCAUACUACUUACAACUAGGAUAUGAGUGAUGUUGAGGUUAGUGGUCAUAUGGUGUGUGGAACCCCGUCGAAGGGUGUCAGCUAGCUCAAACCCUUCGAGAUAUUUUGGGAUGAUCAGAUACAUCUAAAAGGAAUCAAGUUAAUCAAUAUGGACGAUGCAAGCAAAUAUAGCUGGGUGGACUGAGACAUAUUGGAACCCCUUUUGUUUUUAGUGAUCUGGAGUUUGUUAGUGUGAUUAACAUCUUAGUCGACCGCCUAUCUAAUUGGUUAGUUCUUCCUGUAGACUCAAGCAAGAGGAUAUGUAGCAAUUUAUAGGACUUCUCCAUUCCUUUUAAGAGUAAUUCUUCAAUGGGAUAAACCCAAGAUUAACCUUAUUCAAGUUUUAGGUGGAGGUGUUAAAGUUUUUGAAGGUUUCCCACUCACAGCUCCAUCAUGGUUCCUAGGCUUUUAUAAAGGUGUUAUAAUUAUGGGCCGAGAAUAGUUCUUGGAAACCCUCAUACCAGUUGUUUUUCCUUCUCUUCAUUGUAAAACACACCUCUAGGUAUAACAUCAAAGAUCAAGGACUUAUAGUGAUAUGUGAAAAUUUUCCUAGUUUAGUUCUUUAUCCUAGAUAUUGGAUGUUUCCAGGUGUACUUCAUGUUGGUGAAGACCUAUACUUUGGAAGCUUGCUCCACGCCCUGUCGUGUUUCUAUUGGUUCUUCUCAUUCAUGCUCGGAUAGGUUUCAAAAAUACUGAAUGUGGGUCCAUUUACAUCGUGAACCUGAUUCGUAUAUAUUUCAACUAGAAUCUUUCACCCUUGAAGAGGUUAUUAUGUAGACAAAUAUAAGAACUCUUUAUUGUUAUUUUGAUUAGAUGCUUUAGGUUAAACAACAUGGACGACAAGAUGUAAAAUUAAGAAGAGGCAUCAUGUGGGACAAGAUGUUCCAAUAUGAGUGCAGCAUAUGACCCUAGUCUGUAAGCCAAUGUUCGUGAGUAAAUAUGAGUGUGAUUAUGUUUAAUUCCUAUGAUAUUUGUGGUUUUAUAUUUUAGCAAUAUGUUAUUUAGAAAUAUUUUCUGAAAAUAUUAUUCAUGUUCAAAUCAAAUUAAAAAAUAUUUAAUUUUCAAAUCAAAUAAAAUCUCUUGAUGGAUGUUUUUGAAAAGAAAAUCAAAUCUGCAUCCAAAUCAAAUAUGGUUGAUCUAAAAUUAGAAUCCCAUUGGAGAAAAUCCCAACAUAUGGUUUUCUAUAUAAGAUGACUCAUUCCUAACAAAGAAAACACGAGCAAGAGUUGAAGAUCUAAUGUGUUAGGGUUUGUUCUUUGAGUCUUUUUAAUUAUUUCUAUUUGCGCACCUCUAUAGCGCGUAAGUUCCAUAUCUAAUGCAUAGAGGUUUUUUUGUUAGUUAAGUUGUAAUUCAAUAAUCUUUAAAUUUGUUUUAUGUAUUGAUCACGUGAUCGAGAGAAAGUGAGAUGGAUUAUAAUAUUUAGGGGGAGCCAUAUAUAGAAAGACACAUGUAGUAUUAGGAAGAGAGUCAUUGAACAAGGUUUGUUCAUCAGAUACUAUUUAUACUAAUACUAUUUAGAGUGGAUUUUCUUUCAUGGUUUGGAAGCCCCCCAGAUGUUGAUGACAUUGUAGCGAUUUGGGUGUCGCAACAGGAAAAAUUUGAGAUUAAGCUGUUGAUUAACUUAACUCAGAAAACUCAAGAUUCGCCACCAAACAUUAUUAUUUCCAAAGGGAAUGGGAAAAGGUCGAAAAAAACCCACAAAAAGGUAAAAUAAAAGAGAAGUCUGGAUACGGGGGUUGGUUAUGCAAGGUGAAGGUAUUAGCACCUGUCACAUCCAUGGUACUCCAUAGGAACCACUUGUAAAUUUGUGUUUAUGAAAAAUAUGGGUUGUUUAUUUGAUCGAUUUUAAUUUGAAAAGACAUUUUGUUGUAUUCGAGUGGAAAAACUCAACUUACUACCCACAAGUAUGAGGAAAUGAGCAUUUGCAUCAUCUUGAUAUGGAGAACUUUUACUAGGAGUUUCUCACAAGCAAUGCUCAACAUUCAAGUGGAAAAUAUCAAUCAUUUCUCAACAUAUUGUAGAAGUAUAAAGGUUUGUAUCACUACGAGAAUAGAAUAAUAUCCAAUCUCUUAAAAAAAGGCUCUUAAAGAAAAAUGCACAAAGGCAUAAAAAAAGUUUGAUGACGUUUGUCUUUUUUAGAAGUUUGAAAAAAGAUUUUGAGAAUGCUUAAGUGUUUUAGCAUUUAUUUAGAAAAAUAUUUUCUAGAUCACUUGACAAAGUCAAGGUUUAUUAGGAAAAUGGUGUGAUGUUUUGAAAAUAAGAAGUUUUUUUGAAAUAGAGAGAAGUUUUAAAAAUUGAAGAAGUGGGAAGGAGAGGAAGAGACUAUCCUAAAGCAUAAAGUAAAUGAUAUGAAAUAAAAGGCCUCAUUGUAAGAUAGCCCGAGAGAAAGCCUUUGUGUGUGCAAGUGUACUAACCACAAGAUGGAUCAGGCAGUUGACAUUGGUAAAAACAAGCAUUACUUUCCCUUUUGGAUUGAGCCACAAGAUAAAAGCUUGUAAGCAGAUGAAUAUCAGAAGAUCCAGAUGAACACAAAGCCAUAUAGACAUCCAAGUCUUGAAUUGAAGAUCAAAGAGUCCAGAGGGAUCACAAAGUCUCAUAUGAAUCACAAAGUGUUAGAUAAACUUCGAGCAAGGGGAAAUAACUAAGCCUUAAAGUCCAAAGUCCAAAAUACUCCUCAAGCAAGGGAUAGUAACACAAAGUCCAUAAGAUCAGAUUAGAGCUUUUUAGGGUUUUAGUCAUUUUAUCAUGUUUUUCUUCUUUUGAAAUAAGAAAGCAAAAUGGGCAAAAAGUAAAAGGGCCAGAAUAUAAAUGACAUGGAUGUAAAAUGCAUAAAGUAAAUGCAUAAAGUAAAUGUUAUGAGCUUAGAUGUAACAAGAUAGUGAUCAAGAGGCAAACAAUGCAUGUAGCAAUCAUGUUAGAGUGUGGAUAUAACAUCAAACUCUAAAGGCAUGAAGCAUAAUAGUUCAAAACUCAAAGAAGAAAGAAGAGAACAAAAGGCAAAAUGAAAUCAAGCUCGGGUAUUUUACUUAGGAUCCACUAUCAACUAGUCAAGGUACCCAAACAUAUGGCACAACUUAGAGAUGACCUGUCAUUAACUCAAAGUGUCAAAAAUAAGAUCAAAUGAUCAUCUGUCAACAUAUUGAAUCAGAGAAAAUUGAAUCAACCUUAGAGACUAUCUAUGGAUGACUUGAAAUAUACAGGCAUUAAUCAACCAGUCAACAACUCAAGUCAAACAAAAGUCAACCAAAAAUCAAACAAAAAUGCAUUAAAAGGAAAAUUAAAAUGACUUUUAAAUAGAAGAUAAAGAGAAAAUUCAAAUAGAGCACCAAAAUAUAAAAGAAAUAGUUGAGAAAAUCAUGAGAGGUUAGGAAUAUUACAAAUGAAAAGAUCUCAAAAGUUGGAUGCAAAAAUAUUUGAAAAUGAUCAAGAAUAAAAUGGAAAAUGAAAAUUAAAUGAAAAAUAAAUGAAAAUAUCAAUUAAAUGCAAAAAUAUUUUAAAAAUUAUGCAAAAAAAAUAUGUGAUGCAAAAUAUUUUUAUAGAUUUUUUGUAAUAAAUUUGAUGAAAAAUGAAUUAAAAAUGAGGGAGAAAUUAAAUGGAAAAGAAAUGAAAUAAAAGAAAUAAAAAUGAAAAUAGAAUUAGGGCCAACAGUCAAAAUAUUUGAAGAAAGCGCGUGGAAGCUUUUGAUUGGUUGUGUUUGAAUAUUGACACCAAAGCGCAUGGAAUUCAACUUUUCUUUCAACCUUUAGCUCAAUUUGGCAAAUCCCUGAACUUGUGUUUUUAGCAACACCUAAGUAUGGAGUUAGCUUCGUAACACAUCAUCGUUCAUUCCUCUUUGAAUCAGAGACAUUGAUUGGUUAUAAGCAAAAAGAAUUUGUUCAAGAACCGUAGUUCUCCAAAGUAAAAUUAAAUGAUGAAUACUAAGAGUAAAUUCAAGGUAAUUAGGGGAUUUUGAUCAGUGAAUCACGACGAACACACUGGACACUUGUUUACUCAUAAAUGUAACUCGUAUCUACCUUUCCUGUUGAAGCUUCAAAGGUCAAUGACGGUGGAUUUGGAAGUCUGGUUCCAAGGAGUUUUAAACCACGACAAUGCUUCAGUUAGCUUCAGAAGGUGCCGAUGAGUGAUUCUGGGAAAAGAUUUGAAGCUAAAAGAUAUUGAAUCAAAGAAAUGGUUAACUGGUUUUUUGAGGUAUCGGGCUCAAAUGGUUUCAGCGUUUAUUUGGUUAUCCAAGCUUGAAAAUGGAGGAAAAUGCUUCCUCUAUUUAUAGGAAAAGUGUUGUUGAGCUCACACAUGUGAAAUAGAUCUGAACUCAUGUGAAUGGAGUUGGAUCUUUGUUGAUUUGCAAUCCUUGUGAGAGCAAGGGUGAAAAGUGUGACUUGGGCAUGAGACUUGGUUGUUUUACACUCCAAUCUAUGCGUUUUACAAAUACAAACAAGUUUGCACAUGUAUUGGUGGUCCCAAGUGAAGAUUUGGAUGUCUACAAGUCACAGGUCAUGCAUGAAAUGCAAAGUUCAUGGUACCAUGUUUGAGCUUAGGCCAAAUGAAAUCCACUUGUGUGUUUUGAGAUGUUCUUUGUGCCAAAUGAUCUCCACAUAGUGAAGAAUAAAACACAAAUGAAUUAAAUCAAAAGAAUACUUGAGUUGAAAAUGGUAUGGAUGGAAAGUUGAGGUCGUGAUCGGGAAUUCUAGGCCAGGUAUUAGGUCAACCAUGUCUUGGGCCUACUUUUGUGCACACAUUGGCAUCUUGGCCAAUUCCAAAAUUGAUGGACUUAGAGGAAAAACUUAUGUUUAACCCUUGAGCAAAGUUGUAUAGGAGUUCAAAUAUGACAUUUGGCUCGAAGUAGAUUCCAAAAGUAUUGAGAAAUGACAGAGUUAUGGUGUUUGGACUAAGUGACAUGCCAUACUUGAUUUUAGGUCAACCAAACAUGUACCAACUUGUGAUUUAUUUCCAUUUCUUGCAUCCAAAGGCCCAAUGAUGAAAACUUGAACAAAAAAUGAGGGAAACUUGAUUGUCCCUUGAAAUAUCUUGAUGAUUGCUUGCAAAUUGGAUGGAGACGACAUGGAAAUAAAGACAUGAACCAUAUUUGAAUCAACUUUGAAAUCAUGCACAAACUUGAACUUAUCUUGAUCAAGUGAUGAUGAAUGAAGAUUUAAAUGAACAUGGCCUAAGGUUAUAGGUCAUGCCUUGAAAAGUAAAAGCUCUUGUGAACCACUUGUUGACCCAACUUUAACUUUGGGCAUCAAAACCCUACUUUAGAAACCAAGCUUGAUCGUUUGAUUGUAAGUCCCUACCUUACACAAUAAUAAAAAGGAAACAACGCAUAUUUUUUUAUUUUGAAUAAGGUUAGAAACGUUAGAACGCAUGCAAACAAAAAAGGUAAAAGAAAACACAAAAAAGGUGCUUGAUGAUCUCCCAUCAAAGGUAACCCCAAAUAGGUGAAGGUUAAGAAGAUACCAUGCUUCUGAUCUUGGUUGAAAUGGAAAUGAUAUGAUAGGUGGAAUAUUAGAGGUAAAAUCCCGGUAUGACACUAGGUUAACAAUCAUGUGUAUGUAGCGGUGAAUUCAUGACCACUGAGCUAUUGGUUAACUCAACAUAAAUAAAACAAGAGUCACCAUCGCGAUUUUAUUAUUUCCAGAGGAAAAUGGAGAAAGUACAAACAAAACCCGAAGAUAAGAAGUUUUAAAAUCAAAACGAAUAAAAUGUCAGAGAUUACAAGUAAGGGGGUUGGUUACACAGAGGGAAGAUAUUAGCACCCAAAGUGUCCUAGGUAAUCCUAGGGAGCCCAUUUUGUGUGUAAGUGUUUUGGUUGAAAAAGAUGUUUGCUUAAAAUUAGAAUGAGGGGAUGAGAAAAGAAUUCAUUAUUUACAUUUUUUGUUUGACAAGGCUUUUGGUCUUGUGUCUACGUACCCACAUAAAGUGAGGGAUCAAAACUACGUAGUUCAUGGUAAAAAAUUCAAAGAUGGGUGGAUUGAUUUUAACAUAAUCUUAAAGAUCUUUUGUUAUCAAUGGGAGAAUACUCAACGAAACAUCCACCGAUAAUGAGGGCUUUACAACAUUUAAGAGGGAGGGCUCCAACUUGGACUAAAUCAAAAUGUAUGCCACUAACCCCUAAUAAAUAGAAAGUCUUACACUCAACAUAUCAUGGAAUGGGAGAAUUACAUAUCAACCAAGGAUAACUCAAAUCUAAUUGCUUUCUUUUGAAAGAAGUUUUAAAGGAAAAAGGCACAAAAGGUCCAAAAUGGUUAGAUGAGUUUGUUAGUUCUUUUUUGUCUUUUUGAAAAUAGAGUCAAUAUGAUUAAGUCCUUUUACAAAUUUGAUUAAGAACGUAGUUUGAAAAUCAGUGGCAUAAGGCCAAGGUUUCUACUCAUUAAAACAAGUAUAAGUUGAAAAAAAAACAAGCAAAGAAGUUUUGAAAAUGAGAGGGAGAGGUUUUGAAAUUAAAUAAGAAGGAGCAGGAGAUGAAGGGACUAUCUUAGACAAGAUUUAAAAUUUUAGAGUUGAAAAGAUCUAAUCCAUGGGAAGCAUCCACAAGACAAUAAUGUCAGAUAGCAACCCAUUUCCUUUGGAUUGUCAAGCAAACAACAAAGCCAUAAUCAUCCAAGCAAUUAAUAAGAAGACCAAAUGGUAUCAAAUAAAGAUAACCAAACAUCCAAGCAAGCACUCCAAAGCAAGCAAUCUUCAAUGUCCUUUAGAUGUAUCAGAUGAAAAAUCCCUUUGAAGCAUACUCACAGAGAAAACAUCAAAUGAUAACAAUAAGACCAAAAUAACAAAUUAGACAGAGAGAAUGAGUGUAUUAGUUAAACCAAAGGAGUCUCUCAAGCUUGUAUAACAUGAAUGACAUGGUCUAAAUCGUUAGUCUCAAAUUAAUGGCAUUGGCCAAGUAUCUUCCAUAGCUCAGGAAUGUUGUCCACUCUAAGUCCAUAUGUCCAAAUUAAGUCACAGACAGAGGCUCAACAGUCCACCAAUGUAUUUUUUAGGGUUUUUGUCUUUAUUAAGUGUUUUAAGGUCCUAAGGCAACAAACAGAACAAGAUCACAAGCACAAAAUAUAUGACAAGCACAAAUACAAUGGCUCAAGUGAGUAAAAUGAAAAUGACUAAAGCAUAAACAUUAGCUUAAGUGGGUAAAGAGAAAAUAUGAUAUGAGAUGCUAAAAUAAAAGCAUAAAUUUAAUAACAAGAAAUAAAAGCAAGAAGUAGAUGACACUAAGAUAAAGAUAAUGUAAUAAGAUAUUAGUUAAUGUUAGUGAAAAAGAAAAAAUGUUUUAGUCAUUCUUUGGAGAACACUCCACCAUUCACCCACAAGCAUGAAAAUAUGAACCCAUGCAUCCUUUAUGAGAAGGGCUCCAACUUGGAUAAAAUCAACAAGUAUGCCACUAACUCUCAUAAAUGGAAAAGGAGCAAAAUUUUCACACGGUACCAUGAGGAAUAGGAGACUUGCAAUCUCACUUACAAGAAUGCCAUUUCCUUUGGGACAAAUUUAGCGCUAUGUUAAGAAAUCAUAAUUUGACUUAUUUAGAUGUCACAACUAUCUGUGGCCGGUCAAUAAUAAUGUUAGUGUUAAUGCAUGCUAGAGACAAGGUAUCAAGACCAAGCUUCUAAAUCAUACCACACACAAAAAUAAGAGGGGAUGAGCCUAUCUCAAUCAUACGCAUGUUGAUUCAUCUGACACAAGGUCAUUGAUGAAUCAACUAGCAUUUGAUCUUGAGGGAUGAAGUUCAAACUUCAUGAACCCCCUAAAUCCAAUGGUUUUGACCAAGUCAAGGUCCAAUUCAACCAAAACUAAGACCAAGACCAAACAAAAGUAGAGUCAACACCAAGUCAACACAAGAGCUCAACAAAACAUUAAAGUAAUUAAACCAAUUUAAAACAAAUUUUAAAAUGAAGAAAAUAAAUCAUUAAAGGUCAAAAUCCUAAAACCCCUUUAAAUCACCAAAGAAAUGGCCAAGGGAUUUAUCAUAGGUCAAACAAGGUCAAAGGACCAUUGACUAGUUUCUUUGGCAUUUUCCAAAAGCCAGAAGUAUUUAAAAAUCAAUUAAAACAAUUCAAAAAUCACAAGAUUCACUAAAUAUAUCAAACUCAAUCCAAAAUUUAAUUUUAAAUAAAAAAUGGGAAGAGGAAAUUAUUUGCAAAAUUUUCGUGGUGGUCCCAUAAUUUUUGGAUUAAAAAUGAAAUUAUAGUGAAUAUUUGAAGAAAAUUCUAAUUUAAAAAUAAUUUACAAAAUUAAAAUAAAACAAAAAAACAUGGGCCAUCAGAUCUCCCUCAUUAAUUGAGGUGGCAGAUCUGAUGGCCACAACCACACGCUCCAUCAUGCACCACGGUCAAUGCGUGUACACACACUUGGUAAUCAGAAGCAAGGGUCAGGAUUAAAACAUAGAAUGAAGAUAUGAGGGUGAGGAGCAAGCCAACACACCACCGGAGCCGUAGCUCUGGUCGUCUUCUCCGGUGAGACUCACCAGACUCGUCAAACCAAAAAGUUUACAAAAGUUGAUGGAUCAUAUACCAAUUUAAAGAGAAAAAUGCAAGGAACACGAAUAUGACCUCCAAUUCUUCCAUCUCUCACUCUAUAAUCAUAAAAGUGGAGUUGAAAUUCGAGGUGUCCAAACCAGUUGCUUCAAUUCAAGUCCAAAAUAACUCAGGAACGUUGCCUACAUUGGUAGGACUAUUGUAACAACCCAAUUUUAGUAUUUAUUUAUUAUACUAUUAUUAUUAUAUUGUAUUUUAAUUAUGUGGAGUUGUAAUUAAUUAAUUGGUUGUUAGGUAGUAUAAUAAUUGACUAUACUAAUUGAAUUGGUGUAUUAAUUAAUUAUUUAGUUGAUAUGAGAUAUAAUUAAAUAAUUAUAUUAAUUAACUUAGAGUGUAUGUUGAGUUGGUUAAUUUAUUUCAAUUNAUCACUAAUUUUUAUCACAAUUCUUAGUUAUAUAUAUUAUACUUACUUAACAACAUCAAAUUAUUACAACUCCACAUAAUUAAAUACAUACAUAUAUAAUAAGUAUAUAAAUAAUCAAUAAUAAGAUUGUUACCAAAGUCCUACCAAUUAGGCAACGUCUCUGAGUUUUUUGACUGUGAAUUGAGAACUUGGUUGGAACCUCGAAUUUCACACUCCACUUAUGAUUAUGGAGUGGAGAUGGAAAAUUGGAAGUCAUAUUCGUCUUCCUUGAUUUUCUCUUUCACUUGGUAUUGAUCCAUCAUUUUGUAAACUUUUUUUUGACGAGUCUGGUGAGUCUCACGGAGAAGCGACCAGAGCUACGGCUCGCGUGGUUGUUGGGCUUGCCUCCCCUCAUAUCUUCAUUCUAUUUUUAAUCCUGACCCUUGCUUCUGAUUACCAAGUGUGUGUACACGCUUGACGUGGCUGCAUGAUGGGCGUUGGUGUUGUGCCAUCAAUCUGCCACCUCAUUAAUGAGGGAGAUCUGAUGGCCCAUGUUUUUUUGUUUAUUUUUGUUUUGUAUUUUUUUAUUGAAAUUUUCUCAAAUAUUCACUAUAAUUCAUUUUUAAUCCAAAAAUUAUGGGACCACCACGAAAUUUUCAAAAUUUCUUACUUCAUUUUUUAUUUAAAUUAAAUUUUGAUUGAGUUUGAUAUAUUUGUGAUCUUGUGAUUUUUGAAUUGUUUUAAUGAUUUUAAUACUUUGGCUUUGGAAAUGGCCAAAGAAACUCGUCAAGGUACCUUUGCUUGUUUGACUUGAUAAUCCCUUGGCCUUCUUGGGAUUUAGGGUUUGACUUUGACCUUUAAUGAUUUUUUCUUCAUUUUAAAAUGUUUUAAUUGGUUAUUGUUUAAUGUUUUGUUGAGCUCUUGUGUUGAUUGUGUUGACUCUACUUUUGUUUGGUCUUGGCUCUAGUUUUGGUUGAUUGGACCUUGAUUGGUCACAUUGGAUUUAGGGGUCAUGGAAUUUUGAAUUAUCCUCAAGAUCAAAUGCUCGUUGUUAGAUUCAUGACGUUUGUCAGUAUGAAACUGCGUUGAUUGAGAUAGGCCUGCAUCCCCUCUUAUUUUGUGUGUGGUAUAUUUCAGCAGCUUGCGUUUGAUCCUUGUCUCUGAUGGACCUAACAUAUUUAUUGAUACGAGCACAGAUAGUGUGACUUAUAAUAGUCAAUCAAUUAUCGUCUUAAUAGCGCUUAAAUUUGUCCCAAGAUGCAUUCUUGUAAAGUGAAUGUCAGUCUCUAUUCCUCAUCGGUCGUGUGAAUUUGCUCCUUUUCAUUUAUGAGAAGUUAGUAGCAUCUUGUUGAUUGUCUCCAAUUGAAGCUUCAUAAAGGAUGCAUGGUUCUAUUUUCAUGCUUGUGGGUGAUGGUGGAGUGUUCUCCAAAGAAUGACUAAACAUUUUUUCUUUUCAAACAUUAACUAAUCUUAUCUUAUCUUUAUCUUAGUGUCAUCUACUUUGUUUUAUUUCUUGUAUUAAUUAUGUUUUAUUUUAGCAUCUCUAUCAUUUUUCUCUUUCCCACUUAAGCUAAUGUUUAUGCUUUGUCUUUUAUUCUGCACUUGAGCAUUGUAUUUGUGCUUGUCUAUAUUUGUGCUUGUGAUCUUGUUCUGGUUGUUGCCUUAGGACCUUAAACACUUAAUAAAGACAAAAAACCCUAAAAAUACAUUGGUGGAUGUUGGCUCGGGUCUGUGACUUAAUUUGGACAGAUGGACUUUGAGUGGACAACAUUCCUGAGCUAUGGAAGUAUUGGGCAUGCCUUAUUUGAGACUAACGAUUUAGACCUAGUUCAUGGUUAUACAAGCUGAGAUACUCUUGGUUUAACUAAUACACUCUUCUCUCUGUCUAAUUUGUUUAUUUUGUCUAUUGUUAUCUUUGAUGUUCUCUCUGUGAGUCUGCUUCAAAGGGAUUUUUCAUCUGAGAAAUCUAAGGGACAUUGAAGAUUGCUUGCUUUGGAGUGCUUGUGGAUGUUUGGUUUCUUUAUUUGAUACUUUUGUUUCUUAUUAAUGCUUGUGGAUUAUGCGUUGUUGUUUGCUUGACAUCCAAAGAAAUGGGUCUGUUCUGCUAUUGUCUUGUGGAUGUUUCCCAUGGUUAGAUCUUUCAACUCUAAAUUUAUCUUGUAAGAUAGUCCUCAUCUCCUGCUCCUUUAUUAUUUCAAAACCUCUCGCUCGUCAUUUUCAACUUCUUGCUUGUUUUUUUUCAACUUAUAUUGUUUAAUGAGUAGAAACUUGGCUUUUUGCACUGAUUUUCAAACUACGUUUUAAUCAAUUUUGUAAAGGUUAUAUAUUGAUCUAUUUUCAAAAGACAAAAGAGAUAACAAUCAUCUAACCAUUUUGGACUUUUGUGCCUUUUUCCUUUAAAAAUCUUAUAAGAAGCAUAGAUUUAGUAUCCUUGCGUAUUGUAUCUAAUCUCCAUUCAUGAUAUGUUGGUGUAAGACUUUUUAUUUAAGGGCUGUUUAGUGGCUUAUUUGAUUUAGUUCAAGUUGGAGCCCUCCUCUUAAAUGUUGUAAAGCCCUCAUAUCGGUGAUGUUGUGAGUAUGUCUCCAUUGAUAACGAAAAGAUCUUUACUUAUGUUAAAUCAUCCACCCCAUCUUUGAAUUUUUUUCCAUAGGAUCGACGUAGUUUUCACCUACUUUAAUGUUGGGUACGUAGCACGAGACCAAACUAUGUCGCCAAACAAAUGUAAAUAAUGAUAUCUUUCUCAUUCCCUCAUUCUAAUUUAUUAAGCAACCAUCUUUUCAACCAAAACACUUACACACAAUGGGCUCCUAGGAUAUACUAGGACAGUUGUGCUAAAUAUCUUCCCUCGUGAACACCCCUUACUUGUAACUCUGAAUUUAUUUCGUUGAUUUUAAAACUUCUUAUUCUUCGGGUUUUGUUGUACUUCUCCAUUUCCUCUGGAAUUACACAACGCUCGUGUUGACUCUUUUUUAUUUAUGUUGAGUUAACCAAUUAGCUUCAGUGGUCAUGAAUUCACCGCUACUAACACAUGAUGUAGCUAUGUUAUACCGGGAUUUUACUCUAAAUAUUCACCCUGCUAUAUUUGUCCUUUCAACCAAUAUCGAAGCAGGUAUCUUCUUAACUUCACCUAUUUGGGCUUACCUUUGAUGGGAGAUCAUAAGCACUUUUUGGUUUUUUUACUUUUUGUUUGCGUGCUUAAACGUUUCCUAACCUUAUUCAAUAAAAAUAUGCGUGUUUCCUUUUAUUAUUGUGUAGGUAGGACUCCAAUCAAACGAUCAAGCUUGGUUUCUAAAGUAGGGUUUGGAUGCCCACAGUUUAAGUGGUCACAAGUGGUUUCACAAGGCUUUACUUUUCAACGGACAUGACCUAACCUUAGCCAUGUUCAUCUUAUAAUUCAUUCAUCACACUUGAAUCAAAGAUAAGUUCAAGUUUGUGCAUGAUUCAAAGUGAUUAAUAUGGUUUCAUGGUCAUUUAUUUCCAUGUGUCUCCAUCACAAUUUGAAGCAAUCAUCAGAUAAUUUUCACACGGGACAACUCAGUUCCCUCAUUUUUGUCCAGUUUCAUAUUGGGGCCUUGGAUGCAAAAAUGAAAUAAAUCACACCAGUUGGGUACAUGUUUGGUGACCUAAAAUCAGUAUGGCCAAUGUCACUGUCCAAACACUUAACUCUGUCCUUUCUCAUACUUUGGAUCUACUUCGAGCCAAUGUCAUAUUUGAACUCCUACUACAACUUUGCUCAAAGGGUUAAACAUAGUUUUUUCCUCUAAGUCAUCAAUUUGAAUGGCCGAAGAUGCCAGUGUGCACAAAAGUGGCCCAGACAUGGAUUGACCUAAUACCUGGCCGAGAUUUCGAUAACGCCUCAAUUUCCAUCCAUACCAUUUCACUCCAAGUAUUUUUGAUUGAAUUAUUGUGUUUAUUCUCACUAUGUGGAGAUCAUGGACAAGACAUCUCAAACACAAGUGGAUUUCAUUUGGCCUAAGCUCAAAUCAUGGUACCAUGAACUUGCAUUUCAUCGCAUCGACCUGUGACUGUAGCAUCCAAAUCUUCCUGGGACCACCAAUACAGUGUGCAAACUGUAUGUAUUGUAAACGAUCGCUAGAUUGGCAGUGUAAACACCAAGUUCAUGCCAAGUCACAUUUCACCCUUGCUCUCACAUAGGAUUGGCAAACACAAUCAAAGAUCACUCCACAUUCACAAUGAGUCAAUCUUUUUCCAUGUGUGAGCGUCCCACACUUUUCCUAAUAUAAGAGAAGACAUUCCUCCAUUUUCAAGCUUGGAUAACCAAGAUAAACGCAGUUGAGUGUGUGAAACUUCUGAGCCGAUACACUCAAAACAGCUAAACCAUUUCUUGAUCUAUAUUUUUUAGCUUCAAAUCUUUUCCCAAUCACUCAUCGCACCUUCUGAAGCUACUAGCAUACAGCAUGCUGGUUGCUAGGGUUAAAACUCCUGGUGCCAGCUUCCACCACCGUCAUUGACCUUUGAAGCUUCAAGCGGAAAGGUAGAUCGAAGUUAACAUUUAGAGUAACAAGGGUCCAGUGAGCAUCUUGUAUUUUACAGUUACUACCAUUUCAUUAAAUUAGUUCGGGUUUUUUCUGCAUGUUUCACUCUUGUUUAUUCAUCUCAUGGAUUAAUUUUAUGUCCUUUUUUAAUUAGAUUUUUUCCUAUUUUCUUAUUAUAGCAGUCAUUUUCGCAUUUACCAUUUAAGGAUCCCAAUUAGGUUGAAUGCUAGGUUUGUCUAGUCGGUAGUAUGUAUUUGUUUCUCUCUACGCAGGUAUGUUGCCUGAUCCCUUUCAUCCUUCCGUACUUUUUAUAUAGUAUUCUGCGAGUCUUGUUAGUUUCCCAGCGAGUAGGUAGUAUAAUAAUUGACUAUACUAAUUGAAUUGGUGUAUUAAUUAAUUAUUUAGUUGAUAUGAGAUAUAAUUAAAUAAUUAUAUUAAUUAACUUAGAGUGUAUGUUGAGUUGGUUAAUUUAUUUCAAUUUAAAUAGAGAUAUUUAAAUAUUAGGUAUUAUUGGGCCUAGUGAUUAAAUUAGAUGGAUAUCAUGAUUUAAGCCCAAAGAGAAUACUAAUAUAAAUAGUAAGAGGUGAGAAGAGUGAGAGUUAGAAUUCAGUUGAUCAUUAAAGGCAAUAGAGAAAGAGGAGAGGAAAAGUAAAGAGAAGCUAGGGUUUCCAUCAAAUUGAAGUGGUAAAGGGGGAAUUCUUAUUAUUAUGGGUUAGCAUGAUCGAGUCAAUGGGUAGGAACAUGUUUAGGUCGAAAUCCUUAAUUUGCAUGGUUUUGUAAUUAUUAGGUUUGAUAAAUACUCUUGAUUUGUGAUGAUUGGAUUAUGCUAAAACCGUAAAUUUAUGUUCUAUGGCGUGAGUUAUAAUUUUCUGAACGUGUAGCUUUUUACGGAAUCGAAAUCGGAGGUCCGAAGGUCCUCUAAAGAUGAGAAACGUGGAGAAUUUUACAUUUUGUUUCGUUGUUAACGCAGGAAUAGCAUUCUGUUUUGCGUUAACCGGUUAACCCAGGGCGUUAACCGGUUAACACUGUUAAAAACCUGGUAAAUUUGUAUUCUGUCUUGCGUUAACAGGUUAACCCAGGGCGUUAACCGGUUAACACUAUUGAAACACUAUUAAAAUUGCAUUCUGUCUUGCGUUAACAGGUUAACCCAGGGCGUUAACCGGUUAACACUGUUGAAAACCUAUUAAAUUUGUAUUCUGUCUUGCGUUAACAGGUUAACCAAAUGCGUUAACAGGUUAGCACUGUUUGAAAAGUGAAAAAUUGAUAUUUAAAUGUUGUAUUCGUUUUAGGAUGAAAUCUAUGUCUACAUAAUUGAUAAUUAACCUAUAAUUGUGAAUGAUAUAUUGUUAUGAGGGUGUAUAUGUACCAGUGGGGGAUAAUUCAUAGUGUUGGAUUAUGGUGAUAUGUGGAAGGUUAAGAUGGUAGAGAUGAUCUUAAUUGCAUAUGUGUUGGUAUGUGUGCAUUCAUUCAUAGCAUGGUCGACUUCAUUGUGGAAGUGGUGAAACUGUGGGUUCACAUGGUAAUAGACGUUGAUCCUUAAUUGGAAAUAGGCGUAGUGGCUUGGAUUCUAGAUAUUGAAUCGGAAAGCGGUGGAACGUUGGGUCCAUAUAGACGUUGAUCCUUAAUUGGAAAUAGGCGUAGUGGCUUUGAUCUUGUCCGGAUCGGAGUGUGGCUUGGAUUCUAGAUAUUGAAUCGGAAAGCGGUGAAACUUUGGGUUCACAUUGAGGUACCGCAUGCAUAGAGUCACAUGUCUUGCAUUGAGUCACAGUUGAAUGUUGUAUUGUUGUGAUUGUGAUGUGUGUACGAGUUAUAGUAGUUGAAUUUGGUGAUGUUUGGAUACCUAACUUGGUGAAAUAUGUGAUUAUGUGAUAAUUGUGGUUAUGUGUAUAUUUGAGAAUAUUGUAUUGAAUUUUAAUAUUAACUCCUUGAGUAUUGAGGUAUGUUUGAAAUAUGCGAAAUAAAUACUGGUUAUUAUUAUUGACAUGAUUAUACAAAGUGUGAUGAAUUCUUUUAAUUGUUGAUUUAAUCAUUGUGCCUUAUUAUGCUAUUUCAUAAUGAUUUGAAUUCUCACCCUUUCUGUUUGAAUGUUACCUUUACAUGGGUAUCGUGCAGAUACUACAGAGUAGUAUUGCUGGAGUAAGUGGACGGUAGCUCGCUCAAGAUUAGCUGGAGAGUUCCCGUAUUUUAGUUUGAGAUUAGGUAAUGAGUCAAUGCUCGGUCAUGUAACACUGGGUAGAUUGGUAGUAUUGAACUCAUAUCGUAUUUGGAUAUGCAUUAUGUUAUUACUUACUUUAUUUUAUCUUGAGAUGAUUCUUGAGAGAUGAUCAUGGUAUGGGACAUGAAUCAUUUUGUAAUAUGCAUGGAUAUUCAUAUUUUUCGCUGUGAACGCAUAUUGUUUGAAUAUUCAUGAUAAGUGAAAUGUGUUAUUUUGAAUGACCAGGUGUGUUGUUGGUUUUUGAAAGCUUUUAGUUUUGAAAACGUCGAUGUGACGCCCUUUUGUUUGUAUGCGUGCUUAUUUACUCUGAUUGUAUAUUAAGUAUUUUGGGGUAGAAAAAGGGUGUUACAUAAGUGGUAUCAGAGCAUGGUCGACCAGUUGGUCUAUAGUCGUUAGGGUUUUCAAUCCCGUUGUAUUUGAUUCGUGUAUCUGACACGAUCGAUACUAUUUGGCAGGUUGGUCCGUCCGGCCAGGUUGUUUAAUUAUGUUUGUUCCCUAGUAUGCGACAUGUGUGUGAGAACACUGUCGAUGCUUGUUUUAUUUUCCAUUGCAGGUUGGGAAUGAAAUAAGUGGGGGAGAAACGUCUACUUAUCUUGGAUGUUCCAAUUGUAUCGAGCUUGGAUAUUAUGUUGUUGCAUGCAAGAGUUUAGUGUUGGCUAGUUAACCUGUUUUGGAGAAUGUUGUACUUUUCCUGAACCCGAAGAGAGGUCAGAUUCGAGGAUGGCGUUGGUUAGAAGUUAAUCGGGUGUAUAUCAACUAUUUCGAGAAGACGGUUACUUUUCCUAAGGUUGGUGCUAAGGAAGAUUGGUGUGUGUCUGCUAAGCAAGUUGAUGAAUCGGUGCAAGAUGGUGCCGAGUUGUUUAUGUUGUUGGCAACAUCGGAUAUUCGGGAGAAGAGGACGAUUGAAGAAUUGCCAAUAGUUUGUGAGUUUGCGGAGGUAUUUCCGGAAGAUAUAAGUGAUUUACCGCCGGAACAUGAGAUUGAGUUUUCGAUUGAUUUAGUUCCUGGAACUAGUCCGGUAUUGAUGGCUCCCUAUAGAAUGUCCACUUCUGAGUUGAAAGAGUUGAAGUGUCAACUUGAAGACUUGCUUGAGAAGAAGUUUAUUCGUCCUAGUGUGUCGCCAUGGGGUGCACCUGUUCUGUUGGUCAAGAAGAAAGAAGGUUCUAUGAGACUAUGUGUUGAUUAUAGACAACUGAAUAAAGUGACGAUUAAGAACAAGUAUCCACUUCCGAGGAUUGACGAUCUAAUGGAUCAGCUGGUUGGAGCUUGUGUGUUUAGCAAGAUUGACUUGAGGUCUGGAUAUCAUCAGAUUCGGGUAAAGGCUGAGGAUAUUCAAAAGACUGCUUUUAGGACAAGGUAUGGUCACUACGAGUACUCCGUGAUGCCUUUUGGUGUGACUAAUGCACCUGGUGUAUUUAUGGAGUAUAUGAAUAGAAUUUUUCAUGAUUAUCUGGAUAAGUUUGUGGUUGUGUUCAUCGAUGAUAUAUUGAUUUAUUCCAAGGGUGAAGAAGAUCAUGCAGAGCAUUUGAAGGUUGUGUUAUUGGUGUUGAAAGAGAGGAAGUUGUUUCCUAAACUCUCUAAAUGUGAAUUUUGGUUGAGUGAAGUAAGUUUUCUUGGACAUGUGAUUUCGAGUGGUGGGAUUUCUGUGGAUCCUACGAAGAUUGAAGCUGUAUCUCAGUGGGAAGCUCCUAAGUCUGUUGCUGAGAUUCAAAGUUUCCUUGGUUUGGCUGGUUAUUAUAGGAAGUUCAUUGAAGGGUUUUCUAAGUUGUCGUUACCGUUGACGCAAUUGACUAGGAAAGGUCAAGCUUUCAUUUGGACUUCGUAGUGUGAAGCGAAUUUUCAAGAGCUUAAGAUAGGAUUGACUACGGCUCCUAUUUUAAUUUUACCGGAUCCGUUAGAAACUUUCGUGGUGUACUGUGAUGCUUCUUUGUUGGGUUUAGGAGGUGUUCUGAGGCAAAAAGGGCAAGUGGUAGCUUAUGCUUCAAGGCAACAUAAAGUUCAUGAGAGGAAUUAUCCGACGCAUGAUUUAGAGUUGGCCGCCUUUGUGUUUGUGUUGAAGCUUUGGAGACAUUAUUUGUUUGGAUCGAGAUUUGAUGUGUUUAGUGAUCACAAGAGUUUGAAGUACUUGUUCGAUCAGAAGGAACUGAAUAUGAGGCAAAGGAGAUGGUUGGAAUUCUUGAAAGAUUACGAUUUUGGUUUGAAUUAUCAUCCUGGAAAGGCGAAUGUUGUAGCCGAUGCAUUGAGUAGGAAGUCAUUGCACAUGUCUAUGUUGAUGAUUCGAGAGUUUGAAUUGUUGGAGCAAUCUAGAGAUUUGAGUUUGGUUUGUGAAGCAACGUCUUCAUGUGUUAAGCUUAGGAUGUUGAAGCUUAUGUGUGGCAUUCUUGACGAGAUUAGAUAAGGUCAUAAGUCAGAUUUGAAGUUAGUCGAUGUUAUGACAUUGAUUAACCAAGGUAAAGGUGGUGACUUUCGGAUUGAUGAGAAUGGUAUCCUGAAGUGUUGUGAUCGAGUUUAUGUUCCGGAUGUUGCGGAUUUGAGGAAGAGGAUUCUUGAGGAAGGGCAUAGAAGUGGUUUGAGUAUUCAUCCUGGUGCUACUAAAAUAUAUCAAGACUUGAAGAAGAUGUUUUGAUGGCAAGGUAUGAAGAAGGAUGUAGCGGAAUUUGUGUAUUCAUGUUUGACUUGUCAAAAGUCAAAGAUUGAACCUCAAAAGCCGUCUGGUUUGAUGCAACCAUUAUCUAUUCCCGAGUGGAAGUGGGAUAGUAUCUCUAUGGAUUUUGUUUCGGGUUUGCCGAGAACAUCGAGUAAUUGUGAGGCGAUUUGGGUCGUUGUGGACAGGUUGACGAAAUGUGCUCAUUUUAUUCCGAUGAGGAUGGAUUAUUCGAUGGAGAGACUUGCUAAGUUGUACAUCGAGAGGAUUGUGUGUUUGCAUGGUAUUCCGUCGAGCAUUGUUUCGGAUAGAGAUCCGAGGUUCACUUCGAGAUUUUGGGAAGGUUUGCAAAGUGCUUUGGGUACGAAGUUGCGUUUGAGUUCGGCAUAUCAUCCGCAAACUGAUGGUCAAACGGAGAGGACUAUUCAGUCACUUGAAGAUCUUUUGAGGUCUUGUGUUUUGGAACAAGGAGGAAAUUGGGAUAGUUUCUUGCCUUUGAUCGAGUUUACGUAUAACAACAGUUUCCAUUCGAGUAUUGGAAUGGCACCUUUUGAGGCUCUUUAUGGUAGAAGGUGUAGAACUCCUUUGUGUUGGUACGAAUCGGGAGAGAGUGUUGUGGUUGGACCCGAGUUGAUUCAAGAGACUACGGAUAAGAUUAAGAUGAUUCAAGAGAAGAUGAAGGCUUCUCAGAGUCGUCAAAAGAGUUAUCAUGAUAAGAGGAGGAAAGCUCUUGAGUUUGAGAAAGAUGAGCAUGUGUUUCUUCGAGUUACGCCAAUAACGGGUGUUGGUAGAGCUUUGAAGUCGCGUAAGUUGACGCCGCGUUUCAUUGGUCCUUAUCAGAUUUCCGAGAGGGUAGGUGAAGUGGCAUAUCGGAUUGCAUUACCACCGUCACUUUCUAAUCUUCAUGAUGUGUUCCAUGUGUCUCAAUUGAGGAGGUACAUUGCGGAUCCAUCGCAUGUUGUUCCAUUAGAUGAUGUCCAAGUGAGGGAUAAUUUGACGGUUGAUACAUCACCUAUGCGAAUUGAAGAUCGAGAAGUCAAGAAGCUUCGUGGUAAGGAGAUUGCUUUGGUGAAAGUGAUAUGGGGUGGAGUCGCCAAUGGCAAUAUUACGUGGGAACUCGAGGAUAAGAUGAAGGAAUCAUAUCCGGAGUUGUUCGCUUGAGGUAAAAAUUUUAGGACGAAAAUCUUUUAAGUGGGGGAGAGUUGUAACAACCCAAUUUUAGUAUUUAUUUAUUAUACUAUUAUUAUUAUAUUGUAUUUUAAUUAUGUGUAGUGGUAAUUAAUUAAUUGGUUGUUAGGUAGUAUAAUAAUUCACUAUACUAAUUGAAUUGAUGUAUUAAUUAAUUAUUUAGUUGAUAUGCGAUAUAAUUAAAUAAUUAUAUUAAUUAACUUAGAGUGUAUGUUGAGUUGGUUAAUUUAUUUCAAUUUAAAUAGAGAUAUUUAAAUAUUAGGUAUUAUUGGGCCUAGUGAUUAAAUUAGAUGGAUAUCAUGAUUUAAGCCCAAAGGUCGGAACCUAGUGAGAGUUAGAAUUCAGUUGAUCAUUAAAGGCAAUAGAGAAAGAGGAGAGGAAAAAUAAAGAGAAGCUAGGGUUUCCAUCAAAUUGAAGAGGUAAGGGGGGAAUCCUUAUUAUUAUAGGUUAGCAUGAUCAAGUCAAUGGGUAGGAACAUGUUUAGGUCGAAAUCCUUAAUUUGCAUGGUUUUGUAAUUAUUAGGUUUGAUAUUAUGAGAACUAAACACUACUAACCUAACACGACUUUGGCAUUUAAAUUGUUCUAUGGCGUGAGUUAUAAUUUUCUGAACGUGUAGCUUUUUACGGAAUCGAAAUCGGAGGUCCGAAGGUCCUCCAAAAAUGAGAAACGCGGAGAAUUCUGCAUUCUGUUUCUUUGUUAACGCAGGAAUAGCAUUCUGUUUUGCGUUAACCGGUUAACCCAGGGCGUUAACCGGUUAACACUGUUGAAAACCUGUUAAAUUUGUAUUCUGUCUUGCGUUAACAAGUUAACCCAGGGCGUUAACCGGUUAACACUGUUGAAAUACUAUUAAAAUUGCAUUCUGUCUUGCGUUAACAGGUUAACCCAGGGCGUUAACCGGUUAACACUGUUGAAAACCUGUUAAAUUUGUAUUCUGUCCUGCGUUAACAGGUUAACCAAAUGCGUUAACAGGUUAACACUGUUUGAAAUGUGAAAAAUUGAUAUUUAAAUGUUGUAUUCGUUUUAGGAUGAAAUCUAUGUGUACAUAAUUGAUAGUUAACCUAUAAUUGUGAAUGAUAUAUUGUUAUGAGGGUGUAUAUGUACCAGUGGGGGAUAAUUUAUAGAGUUGGAUUAUGGUGAUAUGUGGAAGGUUAAGAUGGUAGAGAUGAUCUUAAUUGCAUAUGUGUUGGUAUGUGUGCAUUCAUUCAUAGCACGGUCGACUUCAUUGUGGAAGUGGUGAAACUGUGGGUUCACAUGGUAAUAGACGUUGAUCCUUAAUUGGAAAUAGGCGUAGUGGCUUGGAUUCUAGAUAUUGAAUCGGAAAGCGGUGGAACGUUGGGUCCAUAUAGACGUUGAUCCUUAAUUGGAAAUAGGCGUAGUGGCUUUGAUCUUGUCCGGAUCGGAGUGUGGCUUGGAUUCUAGAUAUUGAAUCGGAAAGCGGUGAAACUUUGGGUUCACAUUGAGGUACCGCAUGCAUAGAGUCACAUGUCUUGCAUUGAGUCACAGUUGAAUGUUGUAUUGUUGUGAUUGUGAUGUGUGUACGAGUUAUAGUAGUUGAAUUUGGUGAUGUUUGGAUACCUAACUUGGUGAAAUAUGUGAUUAUGUGAUAAUUGUGGUUAUGUGUAUAUUUGAGAAUAUUGUAUUGAAUUUUAAUAUUAACUCCUUGAGUAUUGAGGUAUGUUUGAAAUAUGCGAAAUAAAUACUGGUUAAUAUUAUUGACAUGAUUAUACAAAGUGUGAUGAAUUCUUUUAAUUGUUGAUUUAAUCAUUGUGCCUUAUUAUGCUAUUUCAUAAUGAUUUGAAUUCUCACCCUUUCUGUUUGAAUGUUACCUUUACAUGGGUAUCGUGCAGAUACUACAGAGUAGUAUUGCUGGAGUAAGUGGACGGUAGCUCGCUCAAGAUUAGCUGGAGAGUUCCCGUAUUUUAGUUUGAGAUUAGGUAAUGAGUCAAUGCUCUGGUCAUGUAACACUGGGUAGAUUGGUAGUAUUGAACUCAUAUCGUAUUUGGAUAUGCAUUACGUUAUUACUUACUUUAUUUUAUCUUGAGAUGAUUGUUGAGAGAUGAUCAUGGUAUGGGACAUGAAUCAUUUUAUAAUAUGCAUGGAUAUUCAUAUUUUCCGCUGUGAACGCAUAUUGUUUGAAUAUUCAUGAUAAGUGAAAUGUGUUAUUUUGAAUGACCAGGUGUGUUGUUGGUUUUUGAAAGCUUUUAGUUUUGAAAACGUCGAUGUGACGCCCUUUUGUUUGUAUGCAUGCGUAUUUACUCUGAUUGUAUAUUAAGUAUUUUGGGGUAGAAAAAGGGGUGUUACAACUAUAGUCAUCAACAAAUUUAGUCAAGAUCUUGAGAAUUGAAGGAGAAUCGAAGAGGUGAAGUUUGAGAAAAAUCACGUUCAGGGAGCAGCUUUGGAGCUUGAUCUUUGAUGCAAUUCCACUUGAUUUCUCUUCCUCUUACUUACUGAAGUCCAAUGGGAUGAAAAUGUCAAUGAAUCCUUUGAGUUCUUGUGCACAAACAGAAAUUGAAUAAGUGCUCGAUUUUAGGAGAAAUCUUCAAGGAAUUCUAUGUUCUGAGGUUAUGGUAUUGAUUAACAAAGUUAGGGCAAGGUUCC